rnacentral:rRNA from 1 species
UAUUUUGUUGGAAAAGGGACGGCCGUAAUGAUUAAUAGGGACAGUCGGGGGCCUCUGUAUUCAAUUGUCAGAGGUGAAAUUCUUGGAUUUAUUGAAGACUAACUACUGCGAAAGCAUUUGCCAAGGAUGUUUUCAUUAAUCAGGAACGAAAGUUAGGGGAUCGAAAACGAUCAGAUACCGUCGUAGUCUUAGCCAUAAACUAUGCCGAUUAGGGAUCGGACGGGGUUAUUUUUUGACCCGUUCGGCACCUUACGAUAAAUCAAAAUGUUUGGGCUCCUGGGGGAGUAUGGUCGCAGGGCUGAAACUUAAAGAAAUUGACGGAAGGGCACCACCAGGGGUGGAGCCUGCGGCUUAAUUUGACUCAACACGGGGAAACUCACCAGGUCCAGACACGAUGAGGAUUGACGGAUAGAGAGCUCUUUCUUGAUUUCGUGGGUGGUGGUGCAUGGGCGUUCUUAGUUGGGGGGGUGAUUUGUCUGCUUAAGUGCGAUAACGAACGAGACCUUAACCUGCUAAAUAGCCCGUAUUGCUUUGGCAGUACGCUGGCUUCUUAUAGGGACUAUCGGCUCAAGCCGAUGGAAGUUUGAGGCAAUAACAGGUCUGUGUUGCCCUUAGAUGGUCUGGGCCGCACGCGCGCUAACUGACAGAGCCAGCGAGUUCUCCCUUGGCCGGAACGUCCGGGUAAUCUUGUUAAACUCUGUCUGCUGGGCAUAGAGCAUUGCAAUA